GUGCUCUCGUUCAGCAGCACAUAUAAUAAAAAUUGAACAAUACAGAGAAGAUUAGCAUGGCCCUGCACAAGGAUGACAUGUUAAUUCGUGAAGCGUUCCAUAUUUAA